UAGACCCAAGGGCGUUUAAUUUGGACGUAACCCAAGGAAGGAGUGGGGUGCGAAGCAUAGGUGCUCCAGGGUGCGGGGCAGAAGGGAGACAGGAAGAAAGGCAAAGCCAGACACAGCGCUCACCAUCAGCAGACCUUCAACAAGGAAAGGCCUGUGCAAGAAAGUGCCUACGUGAACACUGAAGACACAGGGUUGCACCCUCCCUGGUUCUGAGAUUGGGAGGAAAUGGAAACAGAAGAAAAAGACCACACAGAGUCCCCAGUGAGACAGGCCAGGAGUCUCAGGAGCACCUCCAGCACUGAGGAAUGUGGGAAUUCUUAGGUGUUGGUCAAAGUGUCUCCAACACAGACCCUCUCAGGGACACCUCACGGGCUGAUGCCCAUAUCACCCCACUCCUGAACAUGCUCCUUACUGACUUUUCUCCCAUCCCCAUCCUUUCUUACUCUGUUACAGUGCUCCUGGGAUCCCCUUCCAAAUAAACUACUCACUCCCAAAUCCUUCCUACCAGGUCGGCUUUGGGAGGUUCCCCACUUAACUUUUUCUCCACAUCUGUCCCUCCCAUGGAAAACUGGUAAAAGAUACUGCUAUAGUUGUUCUAUUGUAA